CCAGACUCCUACGGGAGGCAGCAGUGGGGAAUAUUGCACAAUGGGGGAAACCCUGAUGCAGCGACGCCGCGUGAGCGAUGAAGUAUUUCGGUAUGUAAAGCUCUAUCAGCAGGGAAGAAGAUGACGGUACCUGACUAAGAAGCCCCGGCUAACUACGUGCCAGCAGCCGCGGUAAUACGUAGGGGGCAAGCGUUAUCCGGAUUUACUGGGUGUAAAGGGAGCGUAGACGGCGAUGCAAGCCAGAUGUGAAAGCCCGGGGCUCAACCCCGGGACUGCAUUUGGAACUGUGUGGCUGGAGUGUCGGAGAGGCAGGCGGAAUUCCUAGUGUAGCGGUGAAAUGCGUAGAUAUUAGGAGGAACACCAGUGGCGAAGGCGACUUUCUGGACUGUACCUGACGCUGAGGCGCGAAAGCGUGGGUAGCGAACGGGAUUAGAUACCCUUGUA
rnacentral:rRNA from 1 species